rnacentral:rRNA from 1 species
GACGAACGCUAGCGGCGUGCCUAAGAAAUGCAAGUCGAGCGAGGUUGAGGCUUCGGCCGAAGGCCUAGCGGCGAACGGUCGCGUAACACGUAAGCAACCUGCCCCAGAGUGGGGGAUAGCCCGCCGAAAGGCGGAUUAACACCGCAUGUGGACAGUCUUUCGCAUGUAGGAUUGUCUAAAACAGCAAUGUGCUCUGGGAUGGGCUUGCGGCCUAUCAGCUAGUUGGUGUGGGUAACGGCCCACCAAGGCGACGACGGGUAGCUGGUCUGAGAGGAUGGUCAGCCGGACUGGGACUGAGACACGGCCCAGACUCCUACGGGGGCAGCAAUUAGGAAUCUUGCGCAAUGGGCGAAAGCCUGACGCAGCGACGCCGCGUGACUGAUGAAGUCUUUCGGGAUGUAAAGGUCUUUUGCAGGGGAAGAAGGAUGUGACGGUACCCUGCGAAUAAGCCCCGGCUAACUACGUGCCAGCAGCCGCGGUAAUCUACUCGUA